rnacentral:rRNA from 1 species
UUGUUGCGGUUAAAACGUUCGUAGUUGAUUUUGUGUCCCACACGGGUAAUUGGCCCACUUACGGGUUCUUAUUACUUGCCGGCUUGCUGGCUUUAGUGUGCGGACGUUUUACCGGUGAGGGAAACGGUGUAGUUUCGGCUGCAAUACGCCCCUUAUUUAUUUCAUAAACCCGUCUUGGUGCUUUUAAUCGAGUGCCAAUGUGGGCCGGUACUAUUACUUUGAACAAAUUAGAGUGCUUAAAGCAGGCUAAAUUUAAUGAAAGUUAAAACGCCUGAAUAUAUUCUGCAUGGAAUAAUGGAAUAGGACCUCUGUUCUACUUUCAUUGGUUUUUAGACCAAGAGGUAAUGAUUAAUAGAAGCAGUUGGGGGCAUUAGUAUUACGAGGCGAGAGGUGAAAUUCGUAGACCCUCGUAAGACUAACUUAAGCGAAAGCAUUUGCCAAGGAUGUUUUCAUUAAUCAAGAACGAAAGUUAGAGGAUCGAAGGCGAUCAGAUACCGCCCUAGUUCUAACCAUAAACGAUGCCAGCUAGCAAUUGUAUGUAGCUACUAAUUUUGGUUCAUACAGUCGCUUUCCGGGAAACCAAAGCUUUUGGGCUCCGGGGGAAGUAUGGUUGCAAAGCUGAAACUU